GGAAUUUAGCUCAGUGGUAGAGCGUUUGCCUAGCAAGCGCAAGGCCCUGGGUUCAGUCCCCAGCUCCG
rnacentral:tRNA from 1 species